rnacentral:rRNA from 1 species
GAACGCGUGGCGGCAUGCCUUACACAUGCAAGUCGAACGGCAGCACGGACUUCGGUCGUGGUGGCGAGUGGCGAACGGUGAGUAAUGCAUCGGAACGUGCCAUUGAGUGGGGAUAACGUAGCGAAAGUUGCGCUAAUACCGCAUAUUCUGUGAGCAGGAAAGCAGGGGACCGCAAGGCCUUGCGCUCUUUGAGCGGCCGAUGUCAGAUUAGCUAGUUGGUGAGGUAAAGGCUUACCAAGGCGACGAUCUGUAGCGGGUCCGAGAGGAUGAUCCGCCACACUGGAACUGAGACACGGUCCAGACUCCUACGGGAGGCAGCAGUGGGGAAUUUUGGACAAUGGGGGCAACCCUGAUCCAGCCAUGCCGCGUGAGUGAAGAAGGCCUUCGGGUUGUAAAGCUCUUUCGGCCGGGAAGAAAUCGCAUGGGCCAAUACCCUGUGUGGAUGACGGUACCGGAAUAAGAAGCACCGGCUAACUACGUG